GACACGGACUUCCGUGUAGAUCGAACCCAAGAUCGCACCAGCUUCCGGUAGCGCGAUCAAUCAACCACAGGUUGAUGUAAGC
rfam:Mycobacterium noviomagense strain DSM 45145 NODE_135_length_277_cov_0.735, whole genome shotgun sequence.